rnacentral:sRNA from 1 species
GUGUUCUCUCCUAUUUCUUGGACGUUUCCUCCCUAAACUUGGCGGUGCUUUUGUGCACCGCCUUUUUUUUGUCCUCU